rfam:Daphnia magna strain Xinb3 scaffold03182, whole genome shotgun sequence.
UGGCCGAGUGGUUAAGGCGACUAACUAGAAAUCAGUUUCCGUUCGGGAGCGUAGGUUCGAAUCCUAU